rnacentral:lncRNA from 1 species
CAUGAUUUAUCAUUAUAAAUACAAUGGCGAGGCCUUUAAUUGCAGGAGCAUUCCCGAUUGGAUAUUCUUCAGUUCUACAAGCAGAGGCACUAGCUUUAAAGCAAGCCCUUAUUUGGGCACAAAGACUAAAUCUCAAGAGAAUAGAAGUCGAAGGAGAUUCUAAGAUGCUGCAAUCUAUUAUCGGAGAUAUCCAAGAACUGCUACAUCAAUUUCAUGAAGCCGAGAUUGACCAUAUCUAACGCAAAGCAAAUACGGUGGCAUAUGAACUUUCUACAAAGUAAAUAGGAUUAAGUUUGAUCUGUAUGGUUAUAAGAUCGGUAAAGGAUCUAGUUUGUAAUUUGCUAGUUUCCAUGCUUUCCAAUCUGUUCUCCUUUUCCUUUGAUCAAAUGAUUCACUUGAUCCAAUCUGUAUAUACAUACAAACCCUGAUGGUCUGAGUUUUCCAUGGUUAUUUUGGCGAGUCAGACACUGUUAAUCGGAGAUCUUUUCUCACCCAUGUCUGAUACUUCUUACGUCCGUUGUAGAGUCGGG